UACGGGGGAGCAAGCGUUGUUCGGAUUACUGGGCGUAAAGCGUGCGCAGGCGGCUUGCAAGACAGAUGUGAAAUCCCCGGGCUUAACCUGGGAACUGCAUUUGUGACUGCAUGGCUGGAGUGCGGCAGAGGGGGGUGGAAUUCCGCGUGUAGCAGUGAAAUGCGUAGAGAUGUGGAGGAACACCGAUGGCGAAGGCAGCCUCCUGGGCCAGCACUGACGCUCAUGCACGAAAGCGUGGGGAGCAAACAGG
rnacentral:rRNA from 1 species